ACGCCUUACACCCUCCCUCGUGCUCGGCCCCGCCCCGCGAGUCUGUGACAGUUGGAGGUUCGAAGUUCGAGGAUGCUCGCCUGUCGCUGCUGACUAGAAUGGACCCUGCCAGACUUCAGCCCCCGCGGGCAGAGACAGGCGCUAGGUGGCGGGAACGUAGCCCAGGCCGCUCCCAACGCGCGGCUGACUGGCUUUCCCGCUCGCCCCCAGAAGCGGAGACCCGGCAGAGCCUGCAGCGCACCGUGAAGGAGGAGUCUGCUGCUGAAUGUUCCAGCACCAACUGCUCCACCUUGCCUUGGAACAACAUUGGAAUCACCUCAAGUCACAAACAAGAAAAGGGAGAGAUGCCACGAGCCGAGCCUGAAGAUGGUCCUUCAUCUCUUUCCUGCUCCCUUUCUUCUCCCUGCUUACUUUCUCCUCCAUAGAUUAUUGUAGACCCUGGAUGGUGUAGCCCCAGGAGACAGUUACAUUGUAUCCUUCCCUGUUCCCUUCCUGCAUGUGCCCCAAUCACAAAACACUCUACGUUCUGCGUUGGCCACAUAGGGUAUGAAGCACUAUUUGCCCCACCUUCUCUUCCUGUUUGCUUUCCACUAUAAAUAAAGAGCUCAUGGUGCUCCAGGUGUCCAUUAGCUCCUGACAAGCUAUGGUUCCAUGUGGUCACAGCUUUCAAGAGUAAUCUUGGUCUCAUCAUCUUUUCUUCAUCUCCCACCACUCUUCCUGGCUUAGGACCCUAUGCUGUGCAGGUCACACCAGGCCUAAUGCAGUCUCAUGCCCAGUGUUCAGUCUUAAUGCACUUGAGAUAGGAACUCUUUCUCAAUUGACCCUAUGUUUUCCCUUAGACAACCUGGGUGAAUUUAAAGCAUUGCCAGUUGCAACAGCUAUAAUCUUAGUCUUUCAUUUUUUGUCUCCCUUCUGCAUCCUGAUUGUUAAAUGCAGAAAAGGCCAUAACUAGCAGUUAGCUAUAGGUGUUGGUGGACCCAUCUGAACGUUUUGUAAUUUACACCAAAUAUCUGGGGCUGAUUGACAAAUGAAAUGAAGUCCCACUAAUGCUUGCGCCUCCCUAGAAGAUGGAUCUAUAUUUAUGAAGGACUUUUAAUCAAUGAUGGAAGACAGUUGGAUUUUCCCCUGUAUGACCCUGUUCACCUUAAAAUUAAAAGAUUUUUAAGUGUA